rnacentral:tRNA from 1 species
GGUUGUAUAGUGUAGCGGUUAUCACCUUGGAUUCUGAAGAUUUCCAGUAACCCCGGUUCGAUUCCGGGUACGACCU